UGGAGAGAUGACCGAGUGGCUGAAGGUAACGGUUUGCUAAACCGUCGUACGGGUUAUACCUGUACCGGGGGUUCGAAUCCCCCUCUCUCCGU
rnacentral:tRNA from 1 species